rnacentral:rRNA from 1 species
CAGGCCUAACACAUGCAAGUCGAGGGGUAACAGAGAGAAGCUUGCUUCUUUGCUGACGACCGGCGCACGGGUGCGUAACGCGUAUACAAUCUACCUUUUGCUGAGGGAUAGCCCAGAGAAAUUUGGAUUAAUACCUCAUAGUAUAUAUGAAUCGCAUGGUUUAUAUAUUAAAGGUUACGGCAGAAGAUGAGUAUGCGUUCUAUUAGCUAGAUGGUGUGGUAACGGCACACCAUGGCAACGAUAGAUAGGGGCCCUGAGAGGGGGAUCCCCCACACUGGUACUGAGACACGGACCAGACUCCUACGGGAGGCAGCAGUGAGGAAUAUUGGACAAUGGGCGAGAGCCUGAUCCAGCCAUGCCGCGUGCAGGAAGACUGCCCUAUGGGUUGUAAACUGCUUUUAUACAGGAAGAAACACUCCCUCGUGAGGGAGCUUGACGGUACUGUAAGAAUAAGGAUCGGCUAACUCCGUGCCAGCAGCCGCGGUAAUACGGAGGAUCCAAGCGUUAUCCGGAAUCAUUGGGUUUAAAGGGUCCGUAGGUGGAUAAUUAAGUCAGGGGUGAAAGUCUGCAGCUCAACUGUAGAAUUGCCUUUGAUACUGGUUAUCUUGAAUUAUUAUGAAGUAGUUAGAAUAUGUAGUGUAGCGGUGAAAUGCAUAGAUAUUACAUAGAAUACCAAUUGCGAAGGCAGAUUACUAAUAAUAUAUUGACACUGAUGGACGAAAGCGUGGGGAGCGAACAGGAUUAGAUACCCUGGUAGUCCACGCCGUAAACGAUGGAUACUAGCUGUUCGGAUUUAUCUGAGUGGCUAAGCGAAAGUGAUAA